GACGCGGCGGAUGCUUUCACAUGCAAGUCGAACGGUAGAGGGGGCAACCCCUUGAGAGUGGCGAACGGGUGAGUAAUGUAUCGGAACGUGCCCAGUCGUGGGGGAUAACGUAGUGAAAAUUACGCUAAUACCGCAUACGAUCUAUGGAUGAAAGCGGGGGAUCGCAAGACCUCGCGCGAUUGGAGCGGCCGAUAUCAGAUUAGGUAGUUGGUGGGGUAAAGGCUCACCAAGCCAACGAUCUGUAGCUGGUCUGAGAGGACGACCAGCCACACUGGAACUGAGACACGGUCCAGACUCCUACGGGAGGCAGCAGUGGGGAAUUUUGGACAAUGGACGCAAGUCUGAUCCAGCCAUUCCGCGUGCGGGACGAAGGCCUUCGGGUUGUAAACUGCUUUUGUACGGAACGAAAACGCUCUUAUUAAUACUAGGAGUCCAUUGACGGUC
rnacentral:rRNA from 1 species